UACGGGGGGAGCAAGCGUUGUUCGGAUUUACUGGGCGUAAAGGGCGCGUAGGCGGCACCGCAAGUCGACUGUGAAAUCUCCGGGCUUAACUCGGAAAGGUCAGCCGAUACUGCGGGGCUAGAGUGCAGAAGGGGCAACUGGAAUUCUCGGUGUAGCGGUGAAAUGCGUAGAUAUCAAGAGGAACACCUGAGGCGAAGGCGGGUUGCUAGGCUGACACGUGACGCUGAGGCGCGAAAGCUAGGGUAGCAAACGGG
rnacentral:rRNA from 1 species